rnacentral:lncRNA from 1 species
ACUGACUGACUGACUGACUGACUGACUGACUCAGAUGCUUCGCUAUGACCGAAUCUCUGCCUCUGUGCACGGAGAGAUUCACCGGAGCCUCCCGCACACUGCAGCCGAGCUCCGCGCACCUCAGUCCGGCUGAGCAGCGGCCAGCAGGGCCGGGGGCGGAGAGCCUGGGGGUCGCAGCAGAGAUUUGGCCUCAGACGGACUGA